CUCUGAGAAAGUUAAGAAAGGAGGUAUCAAGAUAUUCUUGAGCAUUGUCUGAGCGAAAGACCUUGAUAUCACGGGAAAACUGGGUUUUGAUCAUGCGGGCAAAGUCAUAGUAGGUUUGUUGUAAUUGGUAUCGAUUCUUUAAUAAGUAAAGCCAAGUAUAUCGAGAGAAAUCAUCCACAAAUAUAACAAAAUACUAUGACCCUCCCAUAGUAGAAGUGGGGGAAGGUCCCAAAAUAUCAGAAUGAACUAAUUCAAAAGGAACAGAGGAGAGAAAUACUUUUGUUAAAAGAUAGAGUAGGUUGUUUGGCAAGCUGACAUGAUUGACAAUCAAGAUGUUCAGUAAGAGUAGGACCUAAGACACCUUUAGACACAAGAAAGCAUAACCGACCUGACGACACAUGACCUAAACGGGAGUGCUAGAUCCUAAAAGAUGGUGACAAAGAAGAAACGGAAGUGGUGGCAGCGGUAGAGACAGAAACAGGAAGAUGAAGAUGUACAAGCUAGAACAGUCGACCAUGUCUACAGCCUAUCCCAAGGGUGUUACCCGUCCGCGGAUCCUGCACAACACAAUAGUUGAGGAGAAAAGAACAGUAAAACCAAGGUCACAUAGUUGACCAACAUAAACAAGAUUAAUAGCAAGUCUAGGGACAUAGUACGUAUGGGAAAGAGAUAGAGCAGAAGUGGAGACAUGCCCAACAUGAUCAACAGUCAUAAAAAAUCCAUUAGCAGUAUGGAUAAUAGGAAAUGAAGACUCAGAGGAUUUGGAGGAGAAGAUAGAUGCAUCAGAGGUCAUAUGAUUACUGCACCCAGAGUCAAAGUACCAUGGGGAUAUACUUGAAGAUACAGACAAUGCAGUAGAAGGAUUACCAGAAGCUGACAGAAUUUUCCGAACUAGAGCAGGAAGAUCACUGACAUCGAUCAAGGUAGGAGAGGCAAACGUAGUAGAAGAAGCCCCAGCAGUAGCAGCGGUAGACUGAACACUAGUAUCUUAGCGAGUAGGAACCCUGGGACAGUCAGACAAAUAAUGUUCAGGACAUCGCUGGUGACAAUGUUUGCAAACCCGAACAUGACAGUUAAGCAAGCGAUGAUCAGUAGCAUGACAGAAAGUGCACUCAUUAUACUGAGCACCAGAGAUUGAAAAAGCUCGGGAUCCAGAAGCCUUAGAUUGAUCCAUAAUGUUCAAACCGUAGAGAAGAUAGAGAAAAAUAGUGCAAAAGUAACGACUACAGUAGUAACGAAGCAAAAAUAUCAAAAACAGAGUGCAAAAAUAAAUCAAAAGGGCCAAAUUAGUCAAGGACAAGAACCUCAAGGACCAAUUUGAAGAAAUCAAAAACUUCAGGGACCAAUUUGAAGAAAUUAGAAAAUUCAAGGACAAUUUGAAGAAAUCAAAAACUUCAAGGAUAAUUUGUAGAAAUCAGAAACUUCAGGGGCUGAGACUGUAAUUUACCACAGGUGAUAGGUUGCUGACGUGGUAGGUGACGUUUACUGAAGGUGUUGACGUGGACUACCACAUGCUGACGUGGCACAGAAAGGCUGGCGUGGCACUAAGGGGUGCUGACAGGGUGCUGACGUGGCACUGGUAGGGUGCUGAAGGGGCAAGUGACGCAGGGAUGAUGUAACAGGACGUAGGGUUGACGUCACAUAAGUAGAGGGUUGACGUAAGGGAUGGCGUCAUGCACGCGUGUUUGGCGCGUACGUGAUCUUGUGCGAGUAGAUCUAACUCGCGGAGGCUUGAGCGGUGCGUGAGAUGGGUUACAGCAGAGUUCUUGACUUGGUUGAGAUCGGAAUACGACGAGGAAGACAAUGGUGUGAAGAAAUUUUAGAUCCAACCAGAGUUUCAGUUGGCCGAAUACAGAAAAGAGAAGAAAAACAAAGGUCAAUCUCAAAAACAGAGGAUGGAAGCUCGGUUGUGGAUGGCGGUGGUGACGCAGGGGUUUAAUGGUGGUGGAUAACUAUAGUAGCUGUAAAACCAGCUCUGAUACCAUGUUAUAUAUAUAUAUAUAUAUAUAUAAAGAGAGAAAAAGAGAGAGAAAUCUCUUGUAUUGAGUGUGUAUAUAUGAGAAGAAGAAUUAGUUUACAAAGGGGAAGAAGAUGAAUAAAUAGGCAAACUACAAAAAGAGAAAAGACUAAAUUACCCCUAAAUAAUCUAUACAUUAACAUAAAUAAUAACCAUGUACAUAAUAUCAACACGUUUUGAGUACAAAAAAAUAGAUAACUGCAUUUUUAAAGUAAAGGUGCCUGCAAAGAAGGUUGCUUUCUGCAACGAUAGACGAACUUCGAAAAUUCACCAAAAAUCAUAUAUUCAGUGUUUUUUAGCUCUUGCAUUAGUUUUUAUUGUAAUUCGACCAAAAUAACGCUCAUUCAUCACUAUAUGAACAUUAAUUAGGACAUAAUAACUUUCAAAAAAAGAGUAAGUUAUCAUACCUCAAUUUAGAAGGCUUUAUUUACUGGAUUCUUAGUAGUUAUUGUAUCCUCCUUUGGAACAUUUCACUUAUCUUUC
rnacentral:lncRNA from 1 species